rnacentral:rRNA from 1 species
GACGAACGCUGGCGGCGUGCCUAAUACAUGCAAGUAGAACGCUGAAGGAGGAGCUUGCUUCUCUGGAUGAGUUGCGAACGGGUGAGUAACGCGUAGGUAACCUGCCUGGUAGCGGGGGAUAACUAUUGGAAACGAUAGCUAAUACCGCAUAAGAGUGGAUGUUGCAUGACAUUUGCUUAAAAGGUGCACUUGCAUCACUACCAGAUGGACCUGCGUUGUAUUAGCUAGUUGGUGGGGUAACGGCUCACCAAGGCGACGAUACAUAGCCGACCUGAGAGGGUGAUCGGCCACACUGGGACUGAGACACGGCCCAGACUCCUACGGGAGGCAGCAGUAGGGAAUCUUCGGCAAUGGACGGAAGUCUGACCGAGCAACGCCGCGUGAGUGAAGAAGGUUUUCGGAUCGUAAAGCUCUGUUGUAAGAGAAGAACGAGUGUGAGAGUGGAAAGUUCACA